rnacentral:lncRNA from 1 species
GGGAAACAGUUGGAGGCAAGAGCCAACUGCUUGACUGGAUUUGAGGUCUUUGGGUUUUCUGGCUGACUGAAGGAAGAAGCUGGGAUCACAGACCCUAGGUGAAGAAUUCACUGGGCAGAGGGAAAAGUCAUAGAUAUUCUGGGUGAAUGGAAGAAGCAUCAUGAGCAAAGAGGCAGGGUGCAAUAAUGGAAUAAUACAUUGGAUAUUGAAUGUAAUGGAAUACAAUAAGGCCUGAAUGGAAUGGAAGGAACCAACUCCCAGCAUCAAUGGUGGCCAUUUCAUCCAAUGGAAGCAGAUGUUGCAUGCCGAAGGACCACAGGACCCAUUCCUCUGGACCUUCCAUACAUUCCACUCAACUCAAAGUUACUUCCAUUGCUACGAGGUACACCAGUUUCAUCCAACAUUGUGUAAUACUCAAGCUCUGAUUUCCUUAAAUCAAGACAACUGUUGGCUUUGUUUUUAGCCUGAUCAUUUUUAGAAUCUGUUUGUAACCCAGCACAUGUUUGUCAUCUUUCAUUACCAGUAGAGCCUAGACUCCAGAUAUUUUAUUUUCUCUGCAGUCACCAUCAUCUCUUCUUCAACCAGAGACCUGCUACCAAGAUGACUGAAAGUGAAAAAAAGAAGGCUACAUUAAGUCCACCAUCCAUUUAUGUUGUUUUGGUUGAUCAUUCAUUCAGUUUCUUCAUUCAG